rnacentral:rRNA from 1 species
GUAGAGUUUGAUCAUGGCUCAGAGCGAACGCUGGCGGCAGGCCUAACACAUGCAAGUCGAACGGACCCUUCGGGGUUAGUGGCGGACGGGUGAGUAACACGUGGGAACGUGCCUUUAGGUUCGGAAUAGCUCCUGGAAACGGGUGGUAAUGCCGAAUGUGCCCUUCGGGGGAAAGAUUUAUCGCCUUUAGAGCGGCCCGCGUCUGAUUAGCUAGUUGGUGAGGUAAUGGCUCACCAAGGCGACGAUCAGUAGCUGGUCUGAGAGGAUGACCAGCCACAUUGGGACUGAGACACGGCCCAAACUCCUACGGGAGGCAGCAGUGGGGAAUCUUGCGCAAUGGGCGAAAGCCUGACGCAGCCAUGCCGCGUGAAUGAUGAAGGUCUUAGGAUUGUAAAAUUCUUUCACCGGGGACGAUAAUGACGGUACCCGGAGAAGAAGCCCCGGCUAACUUCGUGCCAGCAGCCGCGGUAAUACGAAGGGGGCUAGCGUUGCUCGGAAUUACUGGGCGUAAAGGGCGCGUAGGCGGACAUUUAAGUCAGGGGUGAAAUCCCAGAGCUCAACUCUGGAACUGCCUUUGAUACUGGGUGUCUUGAGUGUGAGAGAGGUAUGUGGAACUCCGAGUGUAGAGGUGAAAAUGGUAGAUAUUCGGAAGAACACCAGUGGCGAAGGCGACAUAUGGCUCAUUACUGACCGGUGAGGC